GACGAACCGUGCGAACGUUGUUCGGAAUCACUGGGCUUAAAGGGCGCGUAGGCGGAUCGUACAGUCUAGGGUGAAAUACUCCGGCUUAACCGGAGAACUGCCUUGGAUACUAACGAUCUCGAGGGAGGCAGGGGCAGUUGGAACUUCCGGUGGAGCGGUGAAAUGCGUUGAUAUCGGAAGGAACGCCGGUGGCGAAAGCGAACUGCUGGACCUCUACUGACGCUGAGGCGCGAAAGCCAGGGGAGCAAACGGG
rnacentral:rRNA from 1 species